rnacentral:lncRNA from 1 species
UCCUCCUCGGGGACUCCAAAAUCCUCCUUGGGGAGCCCAAAUCCUCCUCGGUGGCAUCAAAAUCCUACUCGGGGGCUCCAAAUUCAUCCUCAGCGGCCUCAAAUUCUACUCAACGGCCUCAAAAUCCUCCUUGGGGACUCCAAAAUCCUCCUCGGCGGCCUCAAAAUCCUCGGGGACUCCAAAUCAUCCUUGGAGACUCCAAAUUCCUCUUCAACGGCACCAAAAUUCUCCUCGGCGGCCUCAAAAUCCUCCUCGGGGACUCCCAAUUCCUCUUCAACGGCACCAAAAUCCUCCUUGGGGACUUCAAAAUCCUCCUCGGCGGCCUCAAAUCUUUCUGGGGGGCCCAAAUGCUCCUCGGGGACCUCAAAUUCUCCUUGGGGACUCCAAAAUCCUACUCGGUGGCCUCAAAAUCCAACUCGGGGACUGCAAAUCCUGCUCGGGGACACCAAAUCCUACUCAUCGGCCUCAAAUCCUCCUUGGGGACCCCAAAUGCUCCUUGGGGACUCCAAAUUCUACUCAACGGCCUCAAAAUCCUCCUCGGGGACUCCAAGUCCUCCUCGGUGGCCUCAAAUUCCUCCUCGGCCUUGCCUCGAUAGCGGUGUCACCUCCCUGGUGGCCUCCCUGGUGGCCUCCCUGGUGGCCUCACCUCCCCGGUGGCCUCCCCCCUUGGGCCUCCUAAAUGGUGUCACCUCCUUGGUGGCCUCCUCCUGAUGUCACCUCCCUGGUGGCCUCCCCAUCGAUGUCACCUCCUUGGUGGCCUCCCUGAUGGCCUCACCUCCUUGGUGGCCUCCCCAUCAAUGUCACCUUGUUGGUGGCCUCAACCCUUGGCCUCCUUGGUGGCCUCCUCAGCAAUGUCACCUUGUUGGUGGCCUUCCCAACAGUGUCACCUCCCUGGUGGCCUCCCUGAUGGCCUCCCCAUCAAUGUCACCUCCCCAGUGGCCUCAACCCUUGGUGGCCUCAACCCUUGGGCCUCCCCAUCAAUGUCACCUCCUUGGUGACCUCCCUGAUGGCCUCAACCCUUGGCCUCCUCACUGACGUCACCUCCCUGGUGGCCUUGGUGGCCUCCCCUUGGGCCUCCCCAUCAAUGUCACCUCCCUGGUGGCCUCCCCAUCAAUGUCACCUCCUUGGUGGCCUCAACCCUUGGCCUCCUCACUGAUGUCACCUCCCUGGUGGCCUCAACCCUUGGUGGCCUCCUGGUGGUGUCACCCCCCUGGUGACCUCCUUGGUGGCCUCCUCAUUAAUGUCACCUCCCUGGUGGCCUCAACCCUUGGGCCUCCACUGUGAUGUCACCUCCCUGGUGGCCUCCCCAUCAAUGUCACCUCCCUGGUGGCCUCAACCCUUGGUGGCCUCCACCGUGGUAUCACCUCCUUGGUGGCCUCCUGGUGGUGUCACCCCCUUGGUGGCCUCCCUGGUGGCCUCCCCAUCAAUGUCACCCCCUUGGUGGCCUCAACCCUUGGUGGCCUCCUCGG